CCUACGGGAGGCUGCAGUGGGGAAUAUUGCACAAUGGGGGAAACCCUGAUGCAGCGACGCCGCGUGAGCGAUGAAGUAUUUCGGUAUGUAAAGCUCUAUCAGCAGGGAAGAAAAUGACGGUACCUGACUAAGAAGCCCCGGCUAACUACGUGCCAGCAGCCGCGGUAAUACGUAGGGGGCAAGCGUUAUCCGGAUUUACGGGGUGUAAGGGGGCCGUAGACGGGUGGGCAUGCCAGAGGUGAAAGGCUGGGGUUCAACCCCAGGACUGCAAUUGGAACUGUCAUGCUAGAGUGUCGGAGAGGCGGGCGGAAUGUCUGGUGUAGCGGUGAAAUGCGUAGAUAUUAGGAAGAACACCAAUUGCGAAGGCAGCCUGC
rnacentral:rRNA from 1 species